UAUUUCUCUUUCUGCGGUGGGUUUUAAGAAAGCUUUGCCCUUCCUGGUAUCAGUGUGGUGCUGGGGGUGGGGGAGUGUUCUGCCCUCUCUGAGAGGGACUUAAAUUCAAAGGUUUAUACAUUCGUUCAAUAAGUAUUUAUGGAAAGCCUAGUACCAGGCACUGUCCUAGGUGCCCGGAGUAAAGCAGUAAACAAAUCAAGGCCAUUUCUGUCACAAAGAGCCUAUUUUCUGGGAAGGGUCAGUAAACAAUAAACAAAAAGCAAGUAACACUAACUGAGUGAUUACAUGUGCCAGUUACAUUUAUUACCUCAUCAGCGCUCAGAACACUGAGGAGGUAGGGGCUGUUAUUGUCCCCAUUUCACAGAGGAGGAAACUGAGGUACAGAGAGGUAAAAAUAACUCGCUCAAUGUCACACAGCUAGUACAUGGUGCUGUUGGCAUUCCAACCCAGGUAAUCUGCCUCCAGAUUUCAUGCUCUUAAACACUAUGCUAUUAUGUCUCCCUGUUAAAAAACUGCCUGAUCAGUUUAUUUCUACCUAAAUAAAUAUCAUAAAGAAACAUCAUAUGACAGUGAGUGUGACGCAGAACAGCGAAGCAAGGUAAACCGUUUUAAGGGUCCCUGGAUGUUGGUGUGCGUGCGCGUGCUGCUUUGGCUGGCGUGGCUGGAGCAGGUGUCUCUCCUAAGGUGAUUUGAAGGAAGUGACACAUUGAUGCAUGUAGCUAUCUGGGCUAAGAGUAUUCCAAGCAGAGGGAACAGCAAAGGCAGAGGCCCCAGGGUAGAUGUGGGCUUGGCAAUAGCAAAAGACAAGCAGGGAGGCCGCCAUGGUCGCAUCGAGUGAGCACAGUGGACAGGAGCAGAUGAGGCGGUCAGCAGCGAGAUCCCGCGGGGCCUUAUAGGGCGUGGGAAGGUCUUUGAUUUUACUGAAUGAGAAGGGGAGCCAUCCAAGAACUUUUGAGCAGGAAAACAACGUGAUUAAAAGGAUCACUUUGAAUGCGGUGCAGAGAGUAGUCUAGGGCCGGGGUUGGCAAUACUGUGUAGGCCUGAGCGCCAGAUCCAGCCUGCCACCUGUUUUUGUGCAGCCAGCAAACUAAGAAUGCUUUUCACAUUUUUAGGUGGCUGAAAAAGUAAGGUGAGUAGUAAUAUUUUGUGGCACCUGAAACUUACAUGAAGUCCAGGUUUCAGUGUCCGUUUAAGUUCCAGUUUUAUUCGCACAGGGCCGUGCUCAUUUGUCUGCGUAUUGUCUGAGGCUGCUUCCAAGCUGCAACGGCCAAGUCGAGUCGUUGCAGCAGAGACCAUCUGGCCCACAGAGUCUACAGUAUUGACUGUCUGGCUCUUUAAGAAAAAGUUUGCUGAUUCCUGGUUUAGGGGGAUAGGGAUGGAGUCAGGCAGACCAGUGAGGAGACUGUGACAGGGGCCGGGGGUGGCUUGGACCAGAGCAGCAAGAAGUGAUCAGAUGCUGGAUGUGUUUCAAAGGGAGAGCUGAUUGGCUCUCUGCAGACAUGGGGAGUUGGGGGCGAUGCCAGUGUUUUUGUACCGAGCAACUGUAAAUGCAGUUCCCAUUCACCGAGAUGGGGAAGACGGUGGGAGCAGCGGGCUGGGAGGUGGGUGGGGAGAAAGGUCUCGGCUGUGUUAACGUCAUGAUGCCGCGUGGAGGUGUCCAGUAAGCAGUCACGGUUCAGAGGAGGGGCCUAGCCUUGAGCCAGUCUUCAGUGUUGUCAGCGUAUCGAAGGUUCUUAAAGCUCUGGGAUAGAUGAAAUCCGUAGUGGGUGUGGAUGGCUGGAGAAGUUCAGACACAGAGUGCGGGAGGUACCCAGUGGUAAGGGGAGGGGUGAGAAGGAAGCGAAGGAGAUGGGAAGGAACGCCAGGGAAGGAAACAGGGGAGAGCGGGGUGUCCUGAAGGAACGUGUUUCCAAGCAGAGGGCGUGAUCGUCUGUGUUCAAGUGUUGCUGAACGUCAGGUCAGAUACAGGCUGAGAACUGACCCUGGAUCUGGCAGCGUGGAGGUCAUUGGUGACUUUGAUAAGAGCCGGAUGAGUGAAAUGGUGAGGACGUCACCGAUUCCAGCUGGUUCAAGCAAAAAUGGGAGGAGAGGAAGCGGAGCAGGUGCUUUCAAGGAGUUGUAUUUUCUGCUGCCCCAGUGCGGGCCAGGAGAGGGCAGAGAGUUGGAUUUAACCUGGGAUGGGGAUUUUGCCAGGGAAGUGCUGGGAAGGGAGGGAGGGGCAAGGGAGCUGAGCACUGAUGUGACGGUGGGCAGUGGACUCUGAGCUUGGCCGGGAGCAAAAGUGGAGCACGAGGGAGACGAGGGGCAACAAGAAGCCCUGGGGUCGCUGGACUCGAGGAGUAGGGCCAUGGAAUUGUUGGCGUAGGGACAGUCAGAGAGUGGGAUGCUUCAAUCUGGUAUCACCCAGGGGUGCAGUUACGGUUAACAUCAAGGUCUAGGGCAGUGCUGUCCAGUAGAAAUAUAAUGGAGCCGCACGUGUAAUUUGUAAUGUUCUAGGACCCAUAUUUUUAAAAAGUAUAAACAAACGAAAUUAAUUUUAAUAAUAUAUUUUCUUUAGCCCCAUGUAUUAUGUGAACAUGUAAUCAAUAUAAAAACUGUUGAGAUAUUUUACCUUUAUUUUGUACUACAUCUUUGACGUUUGAUAUGGAUUUUAUGCUUCCAAAGCAUCUUAGUUCAGACUAGGCACAUUUCAGUAGCCACAUGUGGCUUGUGGCUACCAUACUGGACAGCGUAGGUCUUGGGAAUGAUCGUGGAAAUACAGUCCAAGGGUACUGGGGGGGAUUGGGUUAAGGAACAGGGAGGCCAGGGUUUGUGAAGGACUGUCUGUGCGGAUCUGAAACCACUUAUGGUCCUGAUGAGACGAGCAGGGUCGGAGAGGCAGGAGAGGGAGACUGGGGCUGUUGGUAGGGUUGCUGCUGCAGUGGCCUCUGCUCUAACUUUCUACCCACCAAGGAGCCCUUCUGCCCCUGAUCCCGUUACACUUCUCAAAGCAUCUGUGAGGUUCUGGGGGAUUGUUCUUGCCUCAAGUCAGAUCCAAGUGGUAACUCCUUGGAAUUAGGGGCUUGAGGCAAGAAUUCUGAGUCACAGAAAACAUCAGAACACAAGGCCGUAAUUUUGCAGGAUCUCCCCCAAAUGGCAACUUUUCACUGGGGUUUUGACUUUUAUCCUUUAGAUACCUAUCUUUAUUUUGGCAUAAUCUUCAAAUUCCUCAAAUUCUAUUAAUUGUAUUUAACAAUGCUAAAUGUAUUUGAAUCCCUGCAGAAGCCCACAUUUAGUAGCUUUGAGGCAGUCCCAUGUAAUAGAGUAUACAGAACCUGCCUGCCGUCCGAUGCUUUUAAAAGGCAGGCGUGGUCAGCCUUUUAUUAUGCAAAGACUUCACGUGUGUGUGUGUGUGUGUGUGUGUGUGUGUGUGUGUGUGUGUGUACACAGGCAGACGUCAGAGAUACUGUGGGUUUGGUUCCAGACCAGUGCAAUAAAUUAAAUAAUGCAGUAAAGAGAGUCACAUGAAUUUUUUUGGUUUCCCAGUGCAUUUAAAAGUUAUGUUUACACUAUACUGUACUCUGUUAAGUGUGCAAUAAUAGCAUUAUGUCUAAAAAACAAGGUACAUACUUUAAUUAAAAACAUACUUUAUUGCUAGACAAUGUUAACCAUCAUCAAGCCUUCAGCGAGUUGUAAUUUUUGCAGGAGUAGUAUCAAAGAUCGUAGAAUAAUAAUAGAAAAGUUUGAAAUAUCGCAAGAGUUACCAAAACGUGACACAGAGACGUGAAGUAGGCAAAUGCUGUUGGAAAAAUGGUGCUUAUAGACUUGCUUGUUACAGGGCUGCCACCAACCUUCCAAUCUGUCAAAAACGCAGUAUUGUGAGGUGCAAUAAAACGAGGUAUGCCUGUGUGUGUGUGUGUGUGUGUGUGUGUGCGCGUGCUUUGAUCCACAAUGUGUCUUUAAAGGUUAAUCAACAUUGAAGGUGAGGUCGGAAAGCUAUUUUUUAGCCUUGUAGGCUAGGGAAAGUGAUGAACUGUUUGGAAAGAGUGAACAGGACACCUCAGCAGCACACACGCUCUUAAUACUUCCCAUACCAAUAAUGAACCCCCGGGGAAAAGGUGAAUGGCUACCCUGAUUCUGUCCCUUUAUCAAGUUGAAAUUACUUUAGGUUCCCUUUAGUUUGUUUUCUGUAUUAAGAUGAACCCCCAAAUCCUCAAAAGUCCUAUCAGCCCCCAAAUUAGGGGGAGCCCACUUUGAGCCGAGCAUUUGUGAACCAUAUGCCCUUGGAUGACUUAGUGUUGAGGGCGUCAUUGCUUGUUGAUUCCAUGUGAGCUGACACCACGAGGAAGCGGGGUCUACCUGGUAGUCUGUGUUUUCAGCAUCCCAACUUCAGUAAUGCCCUCAGUAUCACAGAGAAUCCGCUUGGUCCCUGACUGUGCACUUUUAUAUUUUAAGUUUAUCUUUUAAGUAUGACGGACUUCUCGCCCAUUGUAGUCACAGGAAAGAAAAAACUCAGUAAACACAAUUUAGUAAUAAUGAAAGCUUACUCAUUAUAUAAGAUUUGUUAAACUCUAUUCUAAUUCAGAUGUUUCCAUCUGACGGGGAAAUGAAUACCAAGAGCUGGAAGUUAAGCAAGAAAUUAAAAAACGUUAAUGGCUCAAUUGCCGUUUGUUUUGAGGUUUUCCUCCCCAGUAAGCGGUAUUUUACUUACAAAGUCACUCCUUUACACACACAUCUUUAUGACGAAUGGACGGGAAUGUAUCCCAGCAAAAGAAGAGCUAUUUUAUGAUGCCACUUGUAAAUUAUAACACGUUACGUUAGAGAACCAAAGGAUUAGCUUUUUAAAAUCAUCGUUAGUGUAAUUACUUAAUUUGCUACACACACAAUUCUGGUUUCUUAGAAAGUGAAGGUCAGCGUGUCUAGGAGACCAGGAAGGUGAGCAUUUGGACAUCUGUUCAUUUUUUAAAAAUUUAGACAUGGGUCGCUAGCGUGCUCUUGUUAUAAUUCUAGCCUCAAAAAAUCCAGAGUGUAACAUUUAAAUUUGUAAUUUAUUCCUUCAGAACUUUACUGCUGAAAUUUAAGAUGUAACCACGUAGUCGGUGUAACCUCAGCCAAGGCAGGUGUCUGGCCUGCAGUAGGCAAGCUCCUGCCCUCCUGCCUCCUCAGGGUGCAGAGACCCCACACGCACGCCAGCUCUCUGGAUGGUUCUGUGCACUGUCAUCUGCAUCUGCCCUUACUAGUAACGUACUCAUUAACCUGAUGCCCCCGUCUCUGGAUGUCGAUGUAGGUGCAGAGAGAGAAAUACCAGAGCCCACAGCCCAGCACGCCUGCACCAGCCACCUCUCACCUCACCCCCACUGCCGGACACUUCUGUCCCUCACACGUGCUGUUUCUUUCUCUCCCCUGGCCCUUCCUCCCCAGAUCUGCUUUAUCUCGCAGAAGUUCCUUCUAGAGGCCAGCCCAGCUGUCACUUCUCCACACACCCUUUCUGCACAGCCUGACCUGUUGGUUCACUCUUACCGUGGGCACUGCUUUCCAUCCCUCUGAGGGCCCUUGCCACCUUGUAUUGUAAUUUCUCUCUUUAUCGGCAUCUUUAAUUCACGAAACUGUGAGUCUGGAGCAGGUGCUGGGCCUCACCUAUUUCUUUUUCCAUAGCACCCAGCCCAGCAUCUGCAUGUAGUUGUGGGUGGCUGAAUGGGGCAGGUGACACACUGUGGUCAUGUACCUUCAAGCCAAAGAGGUACACUUAAUAACUGUUUUGAGGGAAGAGAAUAGAUACUGUUUUUGUUGAUACACAUCUUAAAAUUUUGGUAGCAGAAAGCAGAUGGGCAAAGAGCAAUAGAAAACAAGUCAGAAACUGCUGUCUGAUUCCAUAGAGACAAUCACGUUAUGGUAAAAAAAAAAAAAAAUAUAUAUAUAUAUAUACACACACACACACACACAUAUAUAUGUGUAUAUAUAAAAUUUACAUUUGAUCGCCUUGAAACCUUCCAUCUGUUGUUCUGCUGUCUUAACUAAUUAUUUAAUUGAAUAGCACCUAGGGAAAUAGAUAUAAAUGUCAUGAGAGCUUCCCUUGUAAGAAGCUCUUUUCUUUUUGUAAUGUGUCCUUUUUAGGACGCCUUCAAGGCUUGUGAAAUCGACUGUCUUCUGAGCAUUGGACACGUGCCUGAAUAUGAUGGUUCUUUUUUACUUACCUCGAUUCACUGGAAUUCAAUGGUCAUGCUAAUAUUCAGUCAAUUUGAGGACUGGUUGGAAAUCAGUCCCCAAAUCAAAAAACAAAUCAGACAGCAUCACUCCCCCCAGAACACCAUGCGUUCCCAGCUUGCCUUGUAAGACUCAUUGGUACAGUGUUCAGUGUCUUACCCCAAAUCACUUACUUUAUGGCUCUUCCCCCCAAGAGUACCUAAGCAAGGGGUUGUAAAUGAGAGACAGAUUUGAGAAAACAGAUCUCAGGCUUUCCUUCACCAUCAGUGUGCAUUUGGGUAAUUUUAAGGGGACUGUAGAAAUCACCUAUAGCUUAUUAUUGGGAUCUUACAUAAUUAGCAACUGGUAGUCCAUUUCCUUAUUCUGUAUCCUUUGAAAUCCUGUAUUUUUCUAACCUGUGAAACUGGCCUAGGAACUAACGAUUGGGAGUGCUUGGAAUUCAGUUUAAGAAGUUCACCUUUUUAGU